AACCCAUGGUGAGGGCACUUUCUCAAUAAGUCUUUGUAUCUCUCCCAUGCGUCAUAGAGAGUUUCUAAAUCCAUUUACACAAAGGAAGAGAUAUCAUUCCUCAGUUU
rfam:Gossypium arboreum cultivar AKA8401 contig_58605_1, whole genome shotgun sequence.